rnacentral:rRNA from 1 species
GACGAACGCUGGCGGCGUGCCUAAUACAUGCAAGUAGAACGCUGAAGGAGGAGCUUGCUUCUCUGGAUGAGUUGCGAACGGGUGAGUAACGCGUAGGUAACCUGCCUGGUAGUGGGGGAUAACUAUUGGAAACGAUAGCUAAUACCGCAUAAUAGCAGUUGUUGCAUGAUAACUGUUUGAAAGGUGCAAUUGCACCGCUACCAGAUGGACCUGCGUUGUAUUAGCUAGUUGGUGGGGUAACGGCUCACCAAGGCGACGAUACAUAGCCGACCUGAGAGGGUGAUCGGCCACACUGGGACUGAGACACGGCCCAGACUCCUACGGGAGGCAGCAGUAGGGAAUCUUCGGCAAGGGACGGAAGUCUGACCGAGCAACGCCGCGUGAGUGAAGAAGGUUGUCGGAUCGUAAAGCUCUGUUGUAAGAGAAGAACGAGUGUGAGAGUGGAAAGUUCACACUGUGACGGUAUCUUACCAGAAAGGGACGGCUAACUACGUG